rnacentral:misc_RNA from 1 species
AAUAUUGAACGCAUGCAAAGGAAGAUAAUGCAGAAGCUACGAAAUCGGAGUGAAGAAACAAAAUAUUUACUCGUGAAAAUUUUUAAAAGGUUAGUUUUGCAGUUGGAUUUUAUGUGGGGGCCUAUGCUGACCAAUAUUAUUCUUUACCAAAACUUCCUGGGCCAAUGGGUUUAUAUGAAAGAAUCAAAGUAGAAUUAGACAAAUACAAGAAAGAUAAGCCUGGACCUGGUAAAAGUUAAUAGAUGUCAGCUUAUUUCAGCACAUUUUACAGAAACUGAUUAACAUGAAAAACUUACAGAAAAAAAUUGUGAUAUUAAUGAUAUCACAGGAGUUGGUUAAGUUUCUUUUUCCUUUUAAUAAAUUUGAUUUUGUGAUGUUUUCAUAACUGUGAUAUAUAAAAAUAGGAGUAAAUAAAAGGAUUGUUUAAUGAAA